GCGCACCAGUCGCGAAAACUUGUCAAUGCCCGAAAGUGUGAACGGGCUACCCCGAGUGCCGUCCGCUGAGGAUGGCUUUUCUCUGCUGUAAGAAGGCGGAGGAAUAAGGAGAGGGCAAGUCUGGUGUCAGCCGCCGCGGUAAUACCAGCUCUCCGAGUGGUAGGGAUGAUUAUUGGGCUUAAAGCGUCCGUAGCUGGCCUUUCAAGUCUCUUGUUAAAUCCAGCGAUUCAAUCGUUGGACUGCGGGAGAUACUGUUAGGCUAGGGGGCGGGAGAAGCCGACGGUAUUGCCGGGGUAGGGGUGAAAUCCUAUAAUCCCGGGAAGAACACCAGUGGCGUAGGCGGUCGGCUAGCACGCGCUCGACAGUGAGGGACGAAAGCUGGGGGAGCGAACCGGAUUAGAUAUCCCUGUAGUCC
rnacentral:rRNA from 1 species